rnacentral:lncRNA from 1 species
UUUAAAUCAGUUUGUCCUUCUUGCUUUUAGGGGAUGAUUUAAGGAUACUGAUUGGCUCUGGUGGUGGAAUGUCAUCUUCGGCAUGUGGCAUGUGGGAUGGGAUGGCAAAGUAGGGACCAAGAAUCUCCAUCCAAAGCAAACUGAGGACAUUUUGGCAGGUCAAUGUGGGGUCAUGUGAAGCACAAGAGAGCAUCAGUGGUCCGGACAAUCAGAAUCUCUAUUGAAGGAUUGGGGUAUUUAUAUUAGCAGGGAUACCAUGGACAUGGAUUAGAUUGGAUUGAGGGGAAGAUAUGAAGUGGUAAGAGGCAAGGGUCUAGGAUUUUUUGAACUUAGUAAAGUCUUCUACAUUUGAGGGAGAACAUCAAUCUUUGGUGUUCUUACGUUAUUACACUCUAUAUAUUGACCUGUGUCUUCUUUACUAAUCUGAACUCCAUGGAGGUGGGAACAGCACCUUAUUUACCUUUGUACUUCUAGCUUUUAUCACAGUGCUUGAUCCAUAGACAAUCGAGGAAAUUGUUGUUCAAGUGCU